UACGUAGGCAGCAAGCGUUGUUCGGAAUUACUGGGCGUAAAGCGUGUGUAGGUGGCGCUCCAAGUCUGUUGUGAAAUCUCCCGGCUUAACUGGGAGGGUGCGGCGGAAACUGGAGUGCUUGAGGGUGGGAGAGGUAAGCGGAAUUCCUGGUGUAGCGGUGAAAUGCGUAGAUAUCAGGAGGAACACCUGUGGUGUAGACAGCUUACUGGACCACUUCUGACACUGAGACACGAAAGCGUGGGUAGCAAACAGG
rnacentral:rRNA from 1 species